UAGUUAAGUCCAAGAGUCUUGGAGUAUCUGGAACCUUAAAGACCCAAAUGCCUUUAGCCGGGGGAAAUCACUCUCGUUGUUAUUAAAGCCUCCAGCUUAUAAAGGCUAUUGUGCAGUGCAGAACACCUUUCAUGUACAGCAGCUAAGAUCACUUUCCACCUCUGGGAUCCCUCUUUUUUUCAAGAUGUUGAGCUUCUUUGUGUGUGGCUUCAUCAGCUAAUUAACAGUACUGAUAUAUGUUUGUGUCUUCUUUUUAUCAUGGCGGCAUUUCUGCUAGAGAGGAGCUUGGAACUCACGUCAGACAUUGCAUAAAUGGAUGUAAUGAGUUCCUGAGAAUACAUUGACUUGUGUAAAUUGAACAUGAUCUCUGGAACUCCAGCUAUGUUGAAAAGGUUAAAUUGUGUGUUUAACUAUAUGACGAAAUCAGUGAAGUGAUAUGUGAAGUAAAUAUAGCGUAAACACCUUUA